rnacentral:rRNA from 1 species
UGGGGAAUAUUGGACAAUGGGCGCAAGCCUGAUCCAGCCAUGCCGCGUGAGUGAUGAAGGCCUUAGGGUUGUAAAGCUCUUUUUGCCGGGGACGAUAAUGACGGUACCCGGAGAAUAAGUCCCGGCUAACUUCGUGCCAGCAGCCGCGGUAAUACGAAGGGGACUAGCGUUGUUCGGAAUCACUGGGCGUAAAGCGCACGUAGGCGGAUUUGUAAGUCAGGGGUGAAAUCCCGGGGCUCAACCUCGGAACUGCCUUUGAUACUGCGGAUCUCGAGUCCGAUAGAGGUGAGUGGAAUUCCUAGUGUAGAGGUGAAAUUCGUAGAUAUUAGGAAGAACACCGGUGGCGAAGGCGGCUCACUGGAUCGGUACUGACGCUGAGGUGCGAAAGCGUGGGGAGCAAACAGGAUUAGAUACCCUAGUAGUCCCUGAGCGGGCUGGCAAGGCGCAU